rnacentral:rRNA from 1 species
CCUGGUUGAUCCUGCCCGUAGCAUAUGCUUGUCUCAAACAUUAAGCCAUGCAUGUCUAAGUACGAGCCCUCUACGGGCGAAACCGCGAAUGGCUCAAUAAAUCAGUUAUGGUUCCCUAGAAAAAUCAAUCCUACUUGGAUAACUGUGGUAAUCCUAGAGCUAAUACGCGACCGAAACUCCGACGCGGUGCAAACCGCGAAAGAGCGCUUUUAUUAGAUCAAAACCAGUCGGGGGCUCCGGCUCCUGUACUCUUUGGUGACUCUGGAUAACUUCAUGCGGAUCGCACGGCCUCCGCGCCGGCGACGCUUCUUUCGAAUGUCUGCCUUAUCAACUGUCGAUGGUAGGUUAUGCGCCUACCAUGGUUGCAACGGGUAACGGGGAAUCGGGGUUCGAUUCCGGAGAGGGAGCCUGAGAAACGGCUACCACAUCCAAGGAAGGCAGCAGGCGCGCAAAUUACCCACUCCCGGCACGGGGAGGUAGUGACGAAAAAUAACGAUACGGGACUCUUCCGAGGCCCCGUGAUUGGAAUGAGUACACUUUAAAUCCUUUAACGAGGAACCAUUGGAGGGCAAGUCUGGUGCCAGCAGCCGCGGUAACUCCAGCUCCAAUAGCGUAUAUUAAAGUUGUUGCGGUUAAAAGCUCGUAGUCGGAUGCGACGACCGGUGGGGGUGUCGGUGGUGGAGCGGCUGCGGUCGUCAUCUCCCCGGCGUUUUUCCCCUGGGGAGUAGGGUAGCGAUACUCUAUUCUCCUUAACCAUCGGUCGAAUCUGUCGGGGAGCGGUGUGGUGGGGGUUGAGGGUCCUUCGGGGUCCGCAUCCUCUGUCCCCCGUUCACAAGCAGUCUGGGGUGCCUUUAACCGGGUGUCCCGGGCCACCGACCCAGUUUACUUUGAACAAAACAGAGUGCUCAACGCAGGCGCUUUCUCGCCUGAAUGCUACAGCAUGGAAUAAUAGAAAAAGACCUCGGUCCGAUUUUGCUGGUCUUUUAACGGUCGGGCUUUCCGGCCCGGCCUAUGCGGACCCGAGGUAAUGGUCAAAAGAGACGGACGGGGGCAUUCGUACCGCGGCGACAGAGGUGAAAUUCUUGGACCGCCGCGAGACGAACGACAGCGAAGGCAUUUGCCAAGAAUGUUUUCAUUGAUCAAGAACGAAAGUUUGGGUUUCGAAGGCGAUCAGAUACCGCCCUAGUCCAAACCAUAAACGAUGCCAACUAGCUAUCCGCCGGCGUCAACUCAAAACGACUCGGCGGGCAGCUUCCGGGAAACCAAAGUGUUUGGGUUCCGGGGGAAGUAUGGUUGCAAAGCUGAAACUUAAAGGAAUUGACGGAAGGGCACCACCAGGAGUGGAGCCUGCGCUUAAUUUGACGCAACACGGGAAACCUCACCAGGCCCGGACACUGGAAGGAUUGACAGAUUGAGAGCUCUUUCUUGAUUCGGUGGGUGGUGGUGCAUGGCCGUUCUUAGUUGGUGGAGCGAUUUGUCUGGUUAAUUCCGAUAACGAACGAGACUCU